rnacentral:rRNA from 1 species
ACUCCAUAAUAUACUUGAUUGGCAUCGAUUGAUAUUGAAAGCUCCGGCGGAUAGAGAUGGGCACGCGCAAGAUUAGCUAGUUGGUGAGGUAACGGCUCACCAAGGCGAUGAUCUUUAGGGGCCUGAGAGGGUGAUCCCCCACACUGGUACUGAGACACGGACCAGACUCCUACGGGAGGCAGCAGUGAGGAAUAUUGGUCAAUGGGUGCAAGCCUGAACCAGCCAUCCCGCGUGAAGGACGACUGCCCUAUGGGUUGUAAACUUCUUUUGUAUAGGGAUAAACCUACCCUCGUGAGGGUAGCUGAAGGUACUAUACGAAUAAGCACCGGCUAACUCCGUG